GAUUUCAACUGAAAAAGUCAUCAAUUACAAAGUUGUAUAACUCAUUAAUAUUUAUAACAUUUAUUUGGGUCAUUUCUUCAUCCAAUAAAGUGAUAGUAAUAUUGUUUACAAAUUUUACAUAUCUCUCUUAUAGUUUAUAAACUAAGAGAUAUGUACAUUUUGUGAACAAUGUUACAAAUCGCUUUGUCAGAUGAAGAAACGACCCAAAUAAAAGUUAUAGAUCUUGAUGAGUUAUACCACUUUGUUAUUGAUUACUUUUUCAGUUGAAAUC
rnacentral:pre_miRNA from 1 species